CAAACGAACUCUUGUCUGAAGAUUGCAGUCUGAGUACUUGACUAAAUCAGUUAAAACUUUCAACAACGGAUCUCUUGGUUCCGGCAUCGAUGAAGAACGCAGCGAAAUGCGAUAAGUAAUGUGAAUUGCAGAAUUCAGUGAAUCAUCGAGUCUUUGAACGCACAUUGCGCCCCCUGGUAUUCCGGGGGGCAUGCCUGUCCGAGCGUCAUUGCUGCCCUCAAGCACGGCUUGUGUGUUGGGCUCUCGCCCCCCGCUUCCGGGGGGCGGGCCCGAAAGGCAGCGGCGGCACCGCGUCCGGUCCUCGAGCGUAUGGGGCUUCGUCACCCGCUCUGUAGGCCCGGCCGGCGCCCGCCGGCGAACACCAUCAAUCUUAACCAGGUUGACCUCGGAUCAGGUAGGGAUACCCGCUGAACUUAAGCAUAUCAAUAAGCAGAGGAA
rnacentral:rRNA from 1 species